rnacentral:miRNA from 1 species
UGGUUUGGUUGCACGUUUGCA